rnacentral:rRNA from 1 species
AUUGAACGCUGGCGGCAUGCCUUACACAUGCAAGUCGAACGGCAGCACGGUAGCAAUCCUCUUUGCGAGUUGCGGACGGGUGGGUAAUACAUCGGAACGUGCGCAGCUGUUGGUGAUAACCCGGCGACAGCCGGACUCAUACCGCAUACGACCUACGGGUGAAAGCGGGGGAUCGCAAGACCUCGCGCUAUCGGACCAGCCGAUGUCAGAUUAGCUAGUUGGUGGGGUAAAGGCCUACCAAGGCGACGAUCUGUAGCUGGUCUGAGAGGACGACCAGCCACACUGGGACUGAGACACGGCCCAGACUCCUACGGGAGGCAGCAGUGGGGAAUAUUGGACAAUGGGCGCAAGCCUGAUCCAGCCAUGCCGCGUGCGUGAAGAAGGCCUUCGGGUUGUAAACCGCUUUUGUUAGGGAAGAAAAGCUCCGGGUUAAUACCACGGAGUAAUGACGGUACCUGAAGAAUAAGCACCGGCUAACUUCGUG